rnacentral:tRNA from 1 species
CGGGGCGUAGUUCAGCUGGCUAGAACGCACGGUUCGGGACCGUGAGGCCGCUGGUUCAAAUCCAGCCGCUCCGA